rnacentral:rRNA from 1 species
GAGUUUGAUCCUGGCUCAGAUUGAACGCUGGCGGCAUGCCUUACACAUGCAAGUCGAACGGCAGCACGGGAGCUUGCUCCUGGUGGCGAGUGGCGAACGGGUGAGUAAUGCAUCGGAACGUAUCCUGGAGUGGGGGAUAACGUAGCGAAAGUUACGCUAAUACCGCAUAUUCUGUGAGCAGGAAAGCGGGGGACCUUCGGGCCUCGCGCUCUUGGAGCGGCCGAUGUCGGAUUAGCUAGUUGGUGAGGUAAAGGCUCACCAGGGCGACGAUCCGUAGCAGGUCUGAGAGGAUGAUCUGCCACACUGGAACUGAGACACGGUCCAGACUCCUACGGGAGGCAGCAGUGGGGAAUUUUGGACAAUGGGGGCAACCCUGAUCCAGCCAUGCCGCGUGAGUGAAGAAGGCCUUCGGUGUAAGAGUCUUCGUCGAGGAAGG